GGGGACGCAUGAGAAAAAAAGAGGCGGGAGGGCGCAGAAAGUCCUUAAAGGUGCCGCAUGUGCGGACACCGGGGGCGGGGCCGGCCGGGAAACUGAGGCCGAAAGGAAGUUCCGGUCUGGGCCUCAACGCCACGCCCGCCCGGGGGCUCGCGGCCAGGUCCCUUCCCCUGCAGAGGGCCGACUGCGAGGCCAGUAUGGACUUAACUCUCUGAUUUCAACAUGCUGUGGGACAAGUGCAGACCUAACUCUGAUUUCAACACACUGUGGGGUGAGUGCUGACUUAACUCUGAUUUUAACAUGCUGUGGAGUGAGUGCUGACUUAACUCUGAUUUCAACAUGCUAUGGGGCCAGUGCUGACUUAACUCUGAUUUCAACACGCUGCAGGAUGAGUGCUGACUUAACUCUGAUUUCAACACACUGUGGGGUGAGUGCUGACUUAACUCUGAUUUUAACAUGCUGUGGGGUGAGUGCUGACUUAACUCUGAUUUCAACAUGCUGUGGGACGAGUACUGACUUAACUCUCUGAUUUCAACAUGCUGUGGGACGAGUACUGACUUAACUCUCUGAUUUCAACAUGCUGACGGGUGAGUGCUGACUUAACUCUGAUUUCAAUAUGCUGUGGGGUGAGUGCUGACUUGUCUGAUUUCAAAAUACUGUGGGGCCAGAGCUGACUUAACGCUCUGAUUUCAACACCUGCAGGACAAGGGCUGACUUAACUCUGAUUUCAACACUCUGCGGGCGAGUGCUGGAACUCUCUGAUUUCAACAUGCUGCAAGGCCAGUGCUGAUCUAACUCCCGGAUUUCAACACGCUGCAGGAUGAGUGCUGACUUAACUCUGAUUUCAACAUGCUGCGGGAUGAGUGCUGACUUAACUCUGUGAUUUCAACACGCCGUGGGGCCAGUGCUGACUUAACUCUGAUUUCAACAAGCCACAGGGCUGGUGCUUACUUAACUCUGCUACACUCACUUAUGAAUCAACUCGAAUGAUCUGGAAUGUGUGGAUCCUGUGCACUGUGACAAAAAAUAGACUCACACAGCUGGAAGGACAGCUCAGUGCAGAGUGCACCUCAGAGCAUUAGGCGUAAAAACUCUUACUUCAGAGAAAUCAUGUAUGAAAUGGAAAACAGCCAGUCCAUGUUAGGUUAAAGCAUCACAGAACAGAAAAUUAAACCUGAUUAAUGUCUGUCCCUA